rnacentral:rRNA from 1 species
UACGGAGGAGGCAAGCGUUAUCCGGAAUUAUUGGGCGUAAAGCGUCCGCAGGUGGCACCUCAAGUCUGCUGUCAAAGACCGGGGCUUAACCCCAGAAAGGCAGUGGAAACUGAAGUGCUAGAGUGCAGGUAGGGUAGAGGGAAUUCCGGUGUAGCGGUGAAAUGCAUAGAGAUCGGGAAGAACAUCGGUGGCGAAAGCGCUCUGCUGGACUGCAACUGACACUCAGGGACGAAAGCUAGGGGAGCGAAUGGG